rnacentral:rRNA from 1 species
UACAGAGGGUGCAAGCGUUAAUCGGAUUUAUUGGGCGUAAAGGGCGCGUAGGCGGGGAUAAAAGUCAGAUGUGAAAUCCUGGGGCUCAACCUCAGAACUGCAUUUGAAACUGUAUCUCUAGAGGGUAGUCGGAGAAAACGGAAUUCCACAAGUAGCGGUGAAAUGCGUAGAUAUGUGGAAGAACACCGGUGGCGAAGGCGGUCUUCUAGAUUAUUCCUGACGCUGAGGCGUGAAAGCAAGGGGAUCAAACAGG